GACGUAUUCAUUAUAAGCGGUCAAGCAGCGCUGGUGGCACAGUAUGGUGACUACUUCACCUACGAUAAUAAUCCCAGGGCAAAAAUAUUCAGGAGAGACCAUGUCAAAGUCACUGACACGGACUCCAUGAUGGCGCUGAUGAGGUACAACGACUACACCCGCGACCCGUUCUCCCGCUGCAACUGCACUCCGCCGUACAACCCAGUGUACGCCGUAUCAUCCCGCUACGACCUGCUUGACCCACACGGAAAAUACGACAUUCCUAAAAUGUACCGACGGCCAGUCGGUGGCAUGGACACGAAGCUCACCAGCUA
rnacentral:lncRNA from 1 species